rnacentral:sRNA from 1 species
AAUGCAUUAUGAAUUCUCAUUUGUAUAAAGGAGGCAGAGGCUACUAGUAAUCUAAAAUUGCGGUACAGUACAAAGAUUCCAAAAAAAAAAAGAAAAAAAAAGGAAAACAAAUAGGGGCAACAAUAUAACAAAACAACUAGAGAAAAUAUUUCAAGCGACCCUGGGUCUGAUUCUAGAAUCCAUUAUCCCUCCUUGUGCGGAACCUUCUGGUCUAAUGACUGUGCCAAACACAUCUCAUAGUAAAUCCCCUUUUUAGCCAAUAGCUGUGCGUGCGUCCCAGAUUCCAAAACCUUCCCUCGUCCAAAUACAAAAAUCACCGUGGCGUUUUUAAUCGUAGACAGACGAUGCGCAACCGCCACCGUCGUCCUACCCGAUGACGCCUUUUCCAAGGCCUCC